UGCAGCCGAGCGAUUUUCCCGCGGUUGGCGGGAACACAGCGAUGGCCAGCGGGGCCGGGGAAGCCACGAGCCCCAGUCCCGCGGGGAGCUGGUUUAGGGAAGAGGGGCCCAAACGCCAUCACGAUUAAUAGGAUACCGAUCAAAGAUAAUAACCAACAUGUCAUCUUUCAGCAUCAGGACACCCCUGCGCCCCCGUGUGCCCAAGCCGCCACCGCAAGGGCCGCCUUUCUGCCACCGAGGCCACCUCACCGGGGAUGUGCCACCCCCUGCGGCCCCUCGCGGCCCUCGUCCUCGCCGCCAGACCCCGGCCCCGCUCACCAGCUGGCCCCCGGCAGCCCUCGGCCACCGCUGCCCGCCGCCCGUGGAAGGCACGCGCUCUUCUCCCUCUUCGGACAAAAAAAGCCAUCUCCCAUUCCGGCCACCAAGACGGCCACGAGUUCAGCUUUGUCACUGACUACUGCCAAAAUCAGGCCCCUUCCAGCAUCUGCUUCUUCCCAGGAUACUUCUAAGACAAAAACUUCAGUUGCUUUAGAAAAAAAGAAUAAAUCAAGCGCUCCGCAGGCUGAAAUCAAGCCAAGGCCCUUUGCUCCUCAGCUUUCCCAGCCAUCGCCAGGGUCUUCUCCCAGGACGCCCGCCCAAGGCUCGGCCAGCUUCCCAGCACCGGCAGCAAAGCAAAACCCGCGCGGAGGGAUUUUUCAGCAACCGUCGAGAAAGCCACCGCCCUCGGCAGUGUCCGGCACUGCGUCUGCCUCAGUGCUGCCCUUGGUAAGCGAUGGGCUCCAGCCGCCGUCGGCCGCCUCCCCGGGGCCGGCCGCGAGCGCCAAGGAGGGCCGGGAGCCGGCCAACGCCAGCGCCUCCGCUUCGUGCCCAAAAGUCAUCUCGCUGAAGAAAGGCUUUGCCGUGGCGCCGUUCCCCAGCCUGACCCGAAACCCCGGGGCCAGCACCUGUGCCGAACCACCACCUCGGCCCCCGGCGAGCGCCGGCAGCCAGGACCCACCUGGGGCUGCCGGGAAAGCCACCGGAGAAGCCACAAACCUCAGCAGACCCCCGUCCGCCGUGAGCCCGGGGACCGCGGCGCAGAAGAAAAAAGCUUUAAGGUCUGCACCCUUGGUAAGGAUAUUAUAUCACUGUAUUAUUAAGAAAAUUUGA
rnacentral:lncRNA from 1 species